rnacentral:rRNA from 1 species
CACGUAGUUAGCCGGUGCUUCUUUACCCAUUACCGUCACUCACGCUUCGUCACAGGCGAAAGCGGUUUACAACCCGAAGGCCGUCAUCCCGCACGCGGCGUUGCUGCAUCAGGCUUCCGCCCAUUGUGCAAUAUUCCCCACUGCUGCCUCCCGUAGGAGUCUAGGCCGUAUCUCAGUCCCAAUGUGGCCGGUCACCCUCUCAGGCCGGCUACCCGUCAAAGCCUUGGUAAGCCACUACCCCACCAACAAGCUGAUAAGCCGCGAGUCCAUCCCCAACCGCCGAAACUUUCCAACCCCCACCAUGCAGCAGGAGCUCCUAUCCGGUAUUAGCCCCAGUUUCCUGAAGUUAUCCCAAAGUCAAGGGCAGGUUACUCACGUGUUACUCACCCGUUCGCCACUCGAGCACCCCACAAAAGCAGGGCCUUUCCGUUCGACUUGCAUGUGUUAAGCACGCCGCCAGCGUUCGUCCUGAGCCAGGAUCAAACUCU